rnacentral:rRNA from 1 species
GAUGAACGCUGGCGGCGUGCUUAACACAUGCAAGUCGAACGAAGCACUUUAUUUGAUUUCUUCGGAAUGAAGAUUUUGUGACUGAGUGGCGGACGGGUGAGUAACGCGUGGGUAACCUGCCUCAUACAGGGGGAUAACAGUUGGAAACGACUGCUAAUACCGCAUAAGCGCACAGGGUCGCAUGACCUGGUGUGAAAAACUCCGGUGGUAUGAGAUGGACCCGCGUCUGAUUAGCCAGUUGGUGGGGUAACGGCCUACCAAAGCGACGAUCAGUAGCCGACCUGAGAGGGUGACCGGCCACAUUGGGACUGAGACACGGCCCAAACUCCUACGGGAGGCAGCAGUGGGGAAUAUUGCACAAUGGGGGAAACCCUGAUGCAGCGACGCCGCGUGAGCGAAGAAGUAUUUCGGUAUGUAAAGCUCUAUCAGCAGGGAAGAAGAAAUGACGGUA